CAAUAGCGUAUACUAAUGUUGUUGCAGUUAAAAGCUCGUAGUCGGAUUUCAGCUAGUUGUAUGUGAUCAUUCUUAGAGAUCAUACAAUCAGUUUUUUGAUGCGAAACUUCAUCUGAUUAAUUUCCGGUGUGUGUCUAGCAUCUCUUUUACUUUGAGAAAAUUAGAGUGUUCAAAGCAGGUUUUUGCCUGAAUAUUACUCUUGGAAUAAUUUUAUAGGACUUUGGUCUAAUGUUGUUGGUGUUGUUGGACCGGAGUAAUGAUUGAUAGGGACGGUUGGGGUGAUUCAUAUUGCAAAGCGAGAGGUGGAAUUCUUGGACCUUUGUAGGAUGAACAACUGCGAAAGCAUUUCACUAGGACGUUCCCGUUGAUCAAGAACGAAAGUUGGGUCAUCGAAGACGAUUAGAUACCAU
rnacentral:rRNA from 1 species